UUGUGUUAAUCGAAUCGGACCCAAAACAUUCACGAUUCCAGUUGAUUUAUUGGUCCCAUCUCAUCGCUUGAUUGUUCGUUCAUAUGGUCAUAUGGAAAUGGAAUUUCUCUUCCAUUCCCACCUCCUACCCUCAUACUGAAAACUAAAGUCUUCGUUGUUAGGGUUCAUGGAAGCUUCAUUUUAAGAAGCCGGGAAGUUCGAGUUUGAAGCUGUUUUUAUCAAUUGAAAAUGGAGAAUCCUGAUCAGGAUCAGCAAGAUCCAAGGAGUGUUCCUGGUGUGGAGGACACAACUGCCAUGACUAUUGAGUUUCUUCGUGCCCGACUUCUAUCAGAACGAUCGGUUUCAAAAAGUGCAAGACAAAGAGCUGAUGAACUAGCAAAACGAGUUGCAGAACUCGAGGAGCAGCUAAAGAUUGUGUCUCUUCAAAGAAAGAUGGCUGAAAAGGCCACAGCAGAUGUACUUGCCAUUUUAGAAGAUAAUGGCGCUAGUGAUAUUUCUGAGACACUUGAUUCAAACUCUGAUCAUGAAACUGAACCAAAAGUUGAGGAUGGUCUUGCUAGAGAGGAUGUGAGCUCCGGUACAGUGCGGAGGAGAAAUGAACAUGAAGAAUAUUCAGGUUCUAAUAUUGAUACUUCUCCAGUGCUAGGCGGAAGCCUGUCUUGGAAAGGUCGCAAUGAUUCACCACAUACUCGUGAGAAGUACAAAAAACAUUCUAUACGAAGUCGAAGCAGUUUUACUUCGAUUGGUUCUUCUUCACCAAAACACCAACUUGGAAGAUCAUGCCGUCAGAUAAAACGUAGAGAUACAAGACCACUAGAUGGGGAGCAAGAGCUCAAAUCUGAUGCUCUCGUGGAUAGUUCCGAAGAGAUACCGUCUACUUCUUUAGAAGACUCUCAAAAUUACUCUGUAAAUGGGCACAGUAUAUUGAGAGAUGGCUAUGAAGUUCGUGAAAAGACACGCUCAAGUUCUUCAGGAGUUCAUAAUAGUGUAGGAAAUAGUGAUCAGGAUAAUGACAUAGAUGGAUAUGAAAAAGUGGAUGAUAUGGAGAAGGCAUUGAAAUGCCAAGCACAACUUAUUGAUCAAUAUGAAGCAAUGGAAAAGGCUCAAAGAGAAUGGGAAGAGAAGUUCAGAGAAAAUAACAACAGUACACCCGAUUCUUGUGACCCUGGAAACCAUUCAGAUAUUACCGAGGAAAGGGACGAGAUGAGGGCUCAAGCUCCAAAUCUGUCAAAUAAUCCUGCAAAUGAGGCAAAACCACAGGUUGCGUUCGAUUGUGACACUAGAGAUUUGUCCCAAGCUCAAACCAAUGGGCUUGGCCCAUCUAUGUGUGCUGUUGAUGUGGAAGACUUGCAGGAUCAGAAUACAAACAGCAUUUCUACUUCAAAAUCACUUGAAGAAUUUACCUUUCCUAUGGCUAAUGUGAAGCAAUGCCAAGAAAGCCAGGAAAACAGUGCACAAGAACCUUCAUGUACCUCCCAUCUCAAUCAUGGGCUACCUGAAAGGCCAUUGUCAUCUCAUGGUGGUAUCAAUUCAUAUGACCAAGAAACUCCAUGCAGUAAUAAUGAUCUAUAUGCAUUGGUACCACAUGAACCGCCUGCAUUAGAUGGUGUACUAGAGGCACUUAAACAAGCGAAACUAUCACUAACAAAGAAAAUCAUCAAAUUACCCUCUGUAGAUGGUGAAAGUGAAUCAAUUGAUAAAUCCAUUGGACCACUUUCUAUCCCAAAAAUGGGGGACAGGUUAGAAAUCCCCGUUGGAUGUGCUGGGCUCUUCAGACUUCCGACUGAUUUUGCUGCUGAAGCUUCUUCACAAGCAAACUUCCUAGCUUCCAGUUCUCAGUUAAGAUCUCCAACUCAUUAUCCUGGUGAGGGUGCUGCAUUAUCUGCAAACCAUCAAAUUUUCCCUGGUCAUGAAAUGGAGGAUAGAUCAAGUUUUUUAAGAGACAGUCGUUUACGCAGCAGCGGCUACCGCGCUGGUUCAGGUUUUACCCGAGAUGGAUUUCUGACUGACCAUAUUCCUGAGAAUAGAUGGAAAAAUCCAGGUCAGAAGCAUCAUUUCGAUCAAUACUUUGAUGCAGUUCAACCCUCUUCCUAUGUACACAACUAUCCACCUCGUCCUGUAUCCUCAAACAUACAUCCCAAUGAUACUUUUUUGAGAACUUUUCCCGGUCGGAGCACAGAAAUGCCUCCGACGAACCAAUAUUCAUUUUAUGAUGAUCAAUUUAGGCCAAAUAUGUAUAGAUAGUUGCAUGUAGUUAUAAAUAUAUAGAUUUGUGAUACAUUCUUCAGGUUCCAGGAGAGCUGUUUUUCUUUUGCAACUAUAAACUCAUGUACCAUGGAAGACCAUUUCUACAUUCUAUUGGCUUCUACAAACUUGCUGAAAGGAAAUUGGCCUUAGAAGGAGAUUUGACCUUGUAUCAUACUGAUACCUUCUAACAAGAGCACUCAGGAACAGAAAGAACACUGAUAAAUAGAAACGCAUAUUACAAUGUCUAAGGAAGUUACAAUAUGACACAAUAUUAAAAGAGGGUCAUACUCUUUUAAGUUUCUGCUGGAAAUUCCUUUCAAAUGAUCCUAUGUAAUAUUCUACUAAUAUUCCUAAUACAUCUCUAAUUAGGAUU